GGAACUGAAAAAUCUAAGUACCUGAAGGAAGAGAAAGAAAUUCGAUUCCGUAAGUAGCGGCGAGCGAACGCGGAUUAGCCCAAACCAAUAAAGUUUUCUUUAUUGGGGUUGCGGACAUAUCAUAACGAAGAGGUAUCGUAAUUGAAGAGGUUUGGAAAGACCCACCACAGAAGGUAAUAGGCCUGUAUGUUAAACGAGAAGACUUUAGAUAUGAUCCAGAGUACCACGGGACACGUGAAACCCUGUGGGAAGCAGGAGGGACCACCCUCCAAGGCUAAAUACUACCUAGUGACCGAUAGCGUAUAGUACCGUGAGGGAAAGGUGAAAAGAACCCCGGGAGGGGAGUGAAAUAGAACCUGAAACCCUGCACUUACAAGCUGUGGAAGCACAUUUCUUGUGUGACCGCGUACUUUUUGUAGAACGGGCCAACGAGUUACGUUAAGUAGCAAGGUUAAGCACUUAAGGUG
rnacentral:rRNA from 1 species